ensembl:lncRNA
GUGGAGGCAGGAGGGUUAGGAGUCUACUUCAGCAGUCCAGAUGAAAGACCCCAGCGCACAGAGCAUAUACCGCUGUUGUCAUCGUCACCAUCACUAUACAGGCCCGAGGGUGUGUGUGACAUUCCUACAGAGAGGGGUGGCAGAUGCAGACGGCAGCUGACCAGACACACAUUCAAGACCAGCCUGCUACUGUGUGACCCCGGCUAGGAGCUUAACGUCUCUGUGCCUCACUGAUGAGUGAGGAUACUCAUGCCUACCCGAGAGGCUCCCGGAAACAUUAAAUGAAACUCCAUUUGCAAAGAACCCAGGCCAGUAUCUGAUGUGCAGCAGAGACACGGCCUUUAUUCCCAUGUGACAAGUCUCCCCCCUCCCCAUACGCGACAGCAUGCCAGGCAUCCGGCAGGGGCACAGGAAGGGCUCGGUGGCCAAGUGGGCUGAAUCUGGAUCUGUAGUUGGCUCACAUGGGUUAGGCACUAGAGCACUUGUUCCCAUUUCUCUCUGGACUUGUCUCCUAUCUACGGGUUUGAAGAACUACAGGCUGAUGUCUCAUUUCUUCAGAGAUUGAGCCAGCAAAGACAUGUCAGGUCAAGUUCAUGGAUAAGUGUAGAAAUGGACAUUGACCCCUCUCAAGGGGUGGAGAGAAUCUUUCUCACAAAAAUUUUCACCGUUCAUUCUACUCUUUUCCUCCCUAAAAGCGUCCCUAAAGCAGGAGCAGGUUUUGAGGCAAACUUAUGUCUGAAAGACAGAUUUUAGAGACACUCUUUGGAGAUCUUUCUUGUCCUAUCUGACCUUUUUGCUGUGAUUGAGGACCUAAUAAAAAUCAGUGAGCAUCUCCAG